rnacentral:tRNA from 1 species
GCCGGUGUAGUUCAACGGCCAGAACGGUGCACUCAUAAGGCACAGAAAAUGGUUCGACUCCAUUCACCGGCA